CCUGCCCCUAGAGGCACUGCAGGUGCGGCUGCUGUGUCACAUGUGCCUCAGUAGUUGACAGAGAGGAGAGACGCUAUGUCUACACUCAGUGGUCCGACCUAUGAACACCGGAAUGAUUACUAGCCUAACAUU